AUGCAGACAGUUAUCCCUUUUUGAACUGCAGUGCUCUCAGAGGGAGUCAGUCUGCCAAAAAAACUCUCAGAGAGACUCAG
rnacentral:snoRNA from 1 species